GAUUACUAACCUAUUAAAUGUCAGUGUUGUUCUCUUUUAUAGGUAAUGCACAUACGCAGAAGUUAAACUAAAUUGAGAGCAAAAGAGCAAUACAAUUUUGCAAGAAAUUUAGGUGUGAUUUAAGUGUGCACUCCUGAAGCUACUUGAACGAGAUAGAAAAACAUGUUCCGUUGUAUAAAUUUUUUUGUUAUUCUAGUUCAA
rnacentral:lncRNA from 1 species